AUUUCAGGGGAAUUAUUAAGUUUGCCCACAAAACCAGUGCAAAUAACUCAGCGCUGACCUGCCGGAUGGCUUUGGAAGGGCAACCUCCCAGAGGGACGGCGUUGGGAGCUUAAUUAGAAUGUCAGGAGACACUUUCAAAGUAGUGUGAGAUGAGAGUCCACUCCAAUGGGAAACCCGAGCCGAUCGUCUUUCCCAGUUCAAGGCAAAUUGUUGAAUGGGAUCAGACGCAAGGAAUCACAUCUUCUGCAGCGGCUCCUCUGGUAGCAUCUUGCUAA
ensembl:lncRNA